rnacentral:rRNA from 1 species
GAUGAACGCUGGCGGCGUGCCUAAUACAUGCAAGUCGAGCGAACAGACGAGGAGCUUGCUCCUCUGACGUUAGCGGCGGACGGGUGAGUAACACGUGGAUAACCUACCUAUAAGACUGGGAUAACUUCGGGAAACCGGAGCUAAUACCGGAUAAUAUAUUGAACCGCAUGGUUCAAUAGUGAAAGACGGUUUUGCUGUCACUUAUAGAUGGAUCCGCGCCGCAUUAGCUAGUUGGUAAGGUAACGGCUUAGCAAGGCGACGAUGCGUAGCCGACCUGAGAGGGGGAUAGGCCACACUGGAACUGAGACACGGUCAAGACUCCUACGGGAGGCAGCAGUAGGGAAUCGGCCGCAAUGGGCGAAAGCCUGACGGAGCAACGCCGCGUGAGUGAUGAAGGUCUUCGGAUCGUAAAAAUCUGUUAUUAGGGAAGAACAAAUGUGUAAGUAAAUAUGCACGUAUUGACGGUACCUAAUCAGAAAGCCACGGCUAACUACGUG